UGAAACGUGAAAAUACAAAUUCCUGCCAGUGCAUCCCUGUGCAACACAGAAAUAAGCAAGUGCUGGCAGAAUGUUAAACCCUCAAACCCCUUUUACUUUUUAAUUAAUUAAUUUAUUUUUUGAGACGGUGUCUUGCUUUGUCACCAGGCUGGAGUGCAGUGGUCCGAUCUCAGUUCACUGCAACCUCUGCCUCCCGAGUUCAACUGAUUAUCCUACCUCAGCCUCCCAAGUAGCUGGCAUUACAAGUGCACGCCACCACACCCAGCUAAUUUUUGUAUUUUUAUUAGAGAUGGGGUUUCACCAUGUUGGCCAGGAUGGUCUCUAUCUCUUGACCUCAUGAUCCGCUCGCCUCAGCCUCCCUAUUUAUUUAUUUUGAGACAGAGUAUUACUCUGUUGCUAUUUAUUUAUUUUGAGAUGGAGUCUCACUCUGUUGCCCAGGCUGGAGUGCAGUGGCAUGAUCUCGGCUCACUGCAACCUCUGCCACCUGGGUUCAAGUGAUUCUCCUGCCUCAGCCUCCCAAGUAGCAGGGAUUACAGGUGCUAAUUUUGCUAGUUUUAGUAGAGACAGUGUUUCACCAUAUUGGCCAGGCUGGUCUUGAACUCCUGACCUCGUGAUCCGCCUGCCUCGGCCUCCCAGACUUCUGGGAUUACAGGCGUGAGCCACAGCACCCAGCCUAUAUUUUAUUUUAUCGUAUCUUAUUUUAUUUUUGAGAUGGAGUCUUGCUCUGUUGCCUAGGCUGGAGUGCAGUGGCAUGAUCUCAGCUCACUGCAACCUCUGCCUCCCAGGUUCAAGUGAUUCUCCUGCCUCAGCCUCCCAAGUAGCUGGGAUUACAGGCACCCACCACCACACCCGGCUAAUUUUUUUGUAUUUUUAGUGGGGACGAGGUUUCACCAUCUUGGCCAGGAUGGUCUCGAACUCCUCUGACCUUGUUAUCCACCCCCCUCGGCCUUGCAAAGUGUUGCGAUUACAGGCGUGAGCCACCACACCCAGCUAUUUUAUUUUUUUGAGAUGGAGUUUCGCUCUUGUUGCCAAGGCUGGAGUGCAGUGGAGUGAUCUCAGCUCACUGCAACCUCUGCCCCCCAGGUUCAAGCAAUUCCCCUGCCUCAGCCUUGAGAGUAGCUGGGAUUACAGGCAACGUGCCACCACACCCGGCUAAUUUUUGUAUUUUUAGUAGAGAUGGGGUUUCACCAUGUUGGUCAGGCUGGUCUCAAACUCCUGACCUCAGGUGAUCCACCUGCCUUGGCCUCCCAAAGUGUUGGGAUUACUGGCAUGAGCCACUGCACCCAGCCUAUUUAUUUUAUCUUUUUGAGACAGAGUCUCACUCUGUCACCCAGGUUGGAGUGCAAUGGCGUGAUCUCGGCUCACUGCAACCUCCACCUCCCAGGUUCAAGUGAUUCUCCUGCCUCAGCCUUCUGAGUAGCUGUAAUUACAGGUGCCCAUUAACUGGCCUGGCUAAUUUUUGUAUUUUUAGUAGGUAUUUUAGUAGGUAUUAUAGUAGGUAUUUUAGUAGGUAUUAUAGUAGGUAUUUUAGUAGGUGUUUUAGUAGACGGGGUUUUACCAUGUUGGCCAGGCUGGUCUCGAACUCCUGACCUCAAGUGAUUCACCUGCCUCGGCCUCCCAAAGUGCUAGGGUUAUAGGUGUGAGCUACCUCGGUCUCCCAAAGUGCUGGGAUUACAGGUAUGAGCCACCACACCCGGCACAAGGGAGCAAUUUGAGCAAAGCCCUGAAACUUUGCUUCCUACAGAGUAGAGUAGAAUAUUCCAGGCAGAGCGGUCACAUAGCACAAAGACCAGGAGGCAGCGGGGCCUGGCAUAUUUUGGAGCAGCAAGGCAGUGUGGCCAGAGCAGGCAAAGGGCAGCAGAAGGGAUGGGUGGGUGAGCAGGGUGCCAGGGCCCCUGCACAUCAGGCAUCAGAGGUCCGGCUAAUUUUUGGUAUUUCUAGUAGAGACGGUGUUUCACUAUGUUGGCCAAGCUGGUCUUGAACUCCUGACCUCAUGAUCUGCCCACCUCGGCCUCCCAAAGUGCUGAGAUUUACAGGCCUGAGCUAUCACGCCCGGCCAAAAUGUAUUACUAUUUUUUUUAUUAAUUUUUUUUUUUAAAGAGAUGGGGUCUCGCUAUGUUGCCCAGGCUGGUCUUGAGCUCCUGACCUCAAACAAUCCUCCCAUCUGGGCCUCCCAAAGUGCUAGGAUUACAGGUGUGAGCCACCGUACCCAGCCAACAGCAAAUGUUGACAAGAAUAUGGAGAAAGAAAAAUUAUUAGUAUUGCUGGUGGCAUAUACAUUAGUUAUGGGCUCUUUGGAGAGCAAGAUGAACAUACAGUUGUUCCCUCUUCUCUGUGGGGACACGUUCCAAGUCCCCCAGUGAUGCCUGAAAUUGUGUAUAGUACCAAAGCCUAUAUAUAUAUGUGUAUAUAUAUGUAUAUACAUACAUACGUGUGUGUGUGUGUGUGUGUGUGUGUGUGUGUGUGUAUAUAUAUAUAUAUAUAUGUAUAUAUAUAUAUAAAAUGUUUUUUCUUUUUUUUUUGAGACGGAGUCUUGCUCUGUCACCCAGGCUGGAGUGCUGGAGUGCAGUGGCACGAUCUCGGCUCACUGCAACCUCCGCCUCCCAGGUUCAGGUUCACGCCAUUCUCCCGCCUCAGCCUCCCGAGUAGCUGGGACUACAGGCGCCUGCCACCACGCCUGGCUAAUUCUUUUUUCUGUAUUUUUUAGUAGAGACAGGGUUUCACCGUGUUAGCCAGGAUAGUCUCAAUCUCCUGACCUCAUGAUCUGCCCGCCUCGGCCUCCCAAAGUGCUGGGAUUACAGGCGUGAGCCACCGUGCCUGGCCUAUAAUGUUUUUCCUUAUAUGUACAUCCCUUUAAUCAAGUUUAAUUAAUAAAUUAGGGACAUUAAGAGAUUAACAGUAACUAUUAAUUAUAACAAUAUACUUAGCUAGGUUUGGUGUCUCACACCUGUAAUCCCAGCACUUUGGGAGGCUGAGGCAGGAGGAUCACCUGAGGUAAGGAGUUCAAGACCAGUCUGGCCAACAUGGUGAAACCCCAUCUCUACUAAAAACACAAAAUUAGCUGAGCAUGGUGGGGCAUAACUGUAAUUCCAGCUCCUCGGGAGACAGAGGCAGGAGAAUUGCUUGGCUUGGGAGGCAGAAGUUGCAGUGAGCUGAGACCACACCACUGCACUCCCCCUGGGCAACAAGAG
rnacentral:lncRNA from 1 species